UAUGAUUAUGGGUAGAUUUUGUUUCUAUAUUUAUAGAUUUUUAAGAUAUGUUGCAUUGUGUGUCAGUAUAAUAAUUAUGAAACCAAUUAUUUAAUGUAUGGUAUUGUUACUUAUGUUAAUUAGAAAUUAUCACUCUGUUUUCAAACAUUACAAUGCUGUUGUCAAAAGUUAUACAUACUCUUAAAAAACAUGUGUACACUUGUAAAAAAAGGUGUAGUUCAUCAUCUGGAUUUGGUGGUUUUAGAAAGUUGUUUUAAAUGAAAUUACAAGGAUUAAGGGUAGAAAAGGGGGGAUAUGAAAUAAAAAUGAUUUCCCCAUCAUCAAAAAUUAAUUCUAUGCUAUUUAAAAGAAACACCAAAUAUCUGGUAAUCAUGCUACCUUAAAUAAGGGUUGUUUCCAAAUUUAUCGGAAGGGGGAAUGGGAGGACUCAAAUUUAUCUAAAAUGGUUGGUUGCAUUUUCUUCAGAAUUCUGUAAGAAUUGUAUGUAAAAUGAACUUUAUUUUAUGGGUGGUCAGGGUCUUAAAAAAGUGCCUCCUCUCCUCAAUGUAAUUUUGAAACAGCCCUAAGCAUGAACCAGCCUCCUUAUUGGUGCAAUUGUCAAUUUUAAUUUAGACAUAAGAAUAUGAUUAAAAUGCAACUUUCACAUGUUGAAAUGGUAAAACU
rnacentral:lncRNA from 1 species